rnacentral:rRNA from 1 species
UACGAAGGGGCUGCGUUGCUCGGAAUCACUGGGCGUAAAGGGUGCGUAGGCGGGUUUUAAGUCAGGGGUGAAAUCCUGGAGCUCAACUCCAGAACUGCCUUUGAUACUGAAGAUCUUGAGUCCGGGGAGAGGUGAGUGGAACUGCGAGUGUAGAGGUGAAAUUCGUAGAUAUUCGCAAGAACACCAGUGGCGAAGGCGGCUCACUGGCCCGGUACUGACGCUGAGGCACGAAAGCGUGGGGAGCAAACAGG